UGGGGAAUAUUGGACAAUGGGCGAAAGCCUGAUCCAGCCAUGCCGCGUGUGUGAAGAAGGUCUUCGGAUUGUAAAGCACUUUAAGUUGGGAGGAAGGGCAGUAAGCGAAUACCUUGCUGUUUUGACGUUACCGACAGAAUAAGCACCGGCUAACUCUGUGCCAGCAGCCGCGGUAAUACAGAGGGUGCAAGCGUUAAUCGGAAUUACUGGGCGUAAAGCGCGCGUAGGUGGUUCGUUAAGUUGAAUGUGAAAGCCCCGGGCUCAACCUGGGAACUGCAGCCAAAACUGGCGGGCUAGAGUAGGGCAGAAGGUGGUGGAAUUUCCUGUGUAGCGGUGAAAUGCGUAGAUAUAGGAAGGAACACCAGUGGCGAAGGCGACCACCUGGUGUCAUACUGACACUGUGGUGCGAAAGCGUGGGGAGCAAACAGG
rnacentral:rRNA from 1 species